AGGUAGAGGCAGAAAGAAGGGUCUUAAAAGCAUGACCUAUUCCUUGGAGAUCUGCAAAGAGUAUCAGAUUAUCUUCAUUCAACACAUAACACAGGCCUUGGAGACCUACAUUUGCAGGUGGUAGAACCAAGUGAAAAACCUAAUCAGAAAUCAAUUCUACAAACAGGAGGAGAUGUUCCUUUUUGUCUGACUCAAUUACGUGGGAAGGAAGAGACAGUGUGAGAAUGGGCUGGGGAUAAUAUAUCAGUAGAGAUUAAGACAUUAAUACCCACAAUCCUUUGGGUCACAUGAUUUUUCUUUUUGAGUUCUCAAAUGUAGAAAAAUGAAACUUUGAACCAAGAAGACUUUUAGAAGCAGUCUAAACCAAGAUCUUUAAUUAACAGAAAAAUCAGAAGCCCAGUCAAGUGAACUACCAAUGAAAUAAACAGCACACAAUCGGUUGAUGCAUAGAAAUAGUGUUUGCCUCAAUGAACUGAUCUGGACUCAAGCCCUUUAAAAGAGACAACCUGAGGCUGCUCUGGAUCUGCUAUAGAGCAAAUAAAGUUUUAUCUCCAUGUUAUUAUUACUAGUUCCACUUCGAGCAGAAACAAAGAAAAUCUGUUUAUAAAUGUCUCCAGUUAUGUUGAAGGUAGAUGCAAUUUGGAGGGCCUCUCUGAGUGGUCCCACUACCCCCAGAUACUGACUCAGAGAACCAGCAUGAGGUUCUACCAUCUCAAAGACCCAUGCUUCCGGUAGUACUGAUGGAGGAAAGAGAAACCAAAUAGAGUGGGGAGAUCAAGCAGCAUGUUUUAUGACCACAAUGGGAAAUGAUGUCCAUUCCUUCUGCCAUUUGCUAGAACUAGUCACAAGGUGCUAAACAUGCUUAAAUCAAGUACCAGACAAAUCUCCCUGAUCAAAGUGCAAAGGUGAGCUGAUGUGUCAGAAGAAGGGGUGAAAUCUGCAGCACUUCUGUUCAACAUGCCCAAGAGGAAAAACAAGCAACAGCGACAGCACCAGAAGAGGAAGAUUCCUCAAGAUUCUGUGGAUGAAUAAUUCAGAAACGUUCCAGUUGGAUGGACUGAUUCAGGGUCUCUCAUGAUGCUGCAGCCAAGAAAAAGACCACUCCUGGGAGAAACACAAGUUACAUGGUAUUGCUCUUCUCACAUGAACCAUCUCCACAACCAACGUGCCCUGAAUCCCAGUGCUUGGCCAACCCCAUCACUAGUAAUCAACCAUCAUCCCAAGAA
rnacentral:lncRNA from 1 species